rnacentral:tRNA from 1 species
UUAAUUGAAACCAAAAAGAGGUUAAUUAUUGUUAAUAAUUAAAUUGAAUUAAAAAUUAAUUCCAAUUAAA